GGUGAACGCUGGCGGUAGGCCUAACACAUGCAAGUCGAACGGCAGCACAGUAAGAGCUUGCUCUUACGGGUGGCGAGUGGCGGACGGGUGAGGAAUACAUCGGAAUCUACUUUUUCGUGGGGGAUAACGUAGGGAAACUUACGCUAAUACCGCAUACGACCUACGGGUGAAAGCAGGGGAUCUUCGGACCUUGCGCGAUUGAAUGAGCCGAUGUCGGAUUAGCUAGUUGGCGGGGUAAAGGCCCACCAAGGCGACGAUCCGUAGCUGGUCUGAGAGGAUGAUCAGCCACACGGGAACUGAGACACGGUCCAGACUCCUACGGGAGGCAGCAGUGGGGAAUAUUGGACAAUAGGCGCAAGCCUGAUCCAGCCAUACCGCGUGGGUGAAGAAGGCCUUCGGGUUGUAAAGCCCUUUUGUUGGGAAAGAAAAGCAGCAGGUUAAUACCCCGCUGUUCUGACGGUACCCAAAGAAUAAGCACCGGCUAACUUCGUG
rnacentral:rRNA from 1 species